AUUCCAUCCCUCGUCAAAAGCCCCUCUCCAGCCCUCUGUUAGCCCCUUUAACCAGGAGCGGCUGUGAGGUUCCCGUGGAGUUUUCUCAUCUCCAGGCUGAGCAGCCGAAACUCUCGCAGCCUUUUGCACCGUUUAGCAGCCCCGGAGCUGGGAGGGGAGAUGAGAGGAGCUGAGCGCGCCCAGGGCCAGCAGGACCCACAUCCAGGUUAUCCCUGCGGAUCCCUGAGCAUCCAAGCACUGCGGGCACACCCGAAACUAAACCCAGAAGGGUCGAACCACACCAGAGCGCAGUUCUGUAGGCGUCUGAGCUGCUGCAAUUACACUGCUGCCACAAAGCCUCUUAACAGAACAAAUCCACAAUUCAGCAAGAAAAUUAAUGAAAUGAAGAGACAGUUGGAGCUCCUGCCAAGAGCAGUCAUUUCAGACCUAGCAACCUUGGAAAAUGACCUUUUAAAUAAUGAAUUUGAAAAAAUAACACUACAAAGCAACAAAAAUGACUGUUACCUACCUAUAAAGUCUACUAAUAGCAGUGGCUUCCAAAGAAUGAAGACAUUAAAUGGAUCAUGGAAACUCACUAGAGCUGAUGUUCCUGUCUCAGGUAUCCUGAGUGUUGAGCUGCCUCACUGCACCUCCUAAGGUAACUCAGGUUAGCUCAGGGAAUGUUUCUACCUAUAUACAGUCAAGCACUCUGAUCCAGAAGACAGGAGUGCACAGUUGUACAGCCUGAGGAAAGUGAGAAGAUAGCAAAAUUAGGCCUAGAAAGGCUACCAGUACGUAAGAAAGGAUAACUAAACAGGGAGGAAUGCGACAUACAUAGACAAGCCAUUAAUUAUUCAUCAUCCCAUAAGCAGUGAAAUACCUCCCUAAAAAUGGCUUUUAAGCACACAUGCUUUACACAACUGGAAGAAUUGGUCUGAUUCAUGUUCAAGUACUCUUUAAGUAGCGCAUAGUGAUGCAAAACUUAAUUUCUUUUGGGGUUCUGCAGUACACCUGAAAUUUUUCUAUCCCUUGAUCCAUGCCUUACAAAGAAUAACUAGCAAAAGCAGGAAAUUCUAAUUUUUGUCCAAGCUUAAACUAGCAUGGACAAAAGCAUGAUUAUUUUUUCUGUGAAGGAAAUGACUCCCUACUUAAUCGCAUUUUCUUUAAACUUCUAAAUCUAUCAUAUUGAAAUGAGAUGGAAGUCCUGCAGUGGGCUCUCCUCACCUUUCCCCUCCCACUCAGUAAAGCUGUAUCCUCACCCCACAAGAUAUAGUUCCCCAAAGUCUGUGCAGCUCUCCUGGUACUGGUGGGGGCUUUAAUGUCUCCUAGAACUUUUUCAGGCUGAACAACCUCAACUUUGCCUGAUGCCAUUGGAAAGAUGCUCCAGGCCUCAGAUCAUCUUUGUGGGACUCACUCCAGCAGGUCAAAACCAUCCCUAUGUUGGGGGCCCCAAAGCUGGACACAGCACUCAGAGAAUCCCAGACCCACUCAUUCAAGAGAUGCAAGUGAAUAUCAUCAACAUCCCUCGUAAGCAUCCCUCCACAACAACCAAAGAUGUUUCACAAGAGAAACAGUUUCUGUGAUAAAGAUUAUACAGAUUAUGGAGAACACAUGCUUCUUGCUUUUUUCAUUAUUUAAAGAAUAAUCACCGGUGGAUUUUAGGAGGUUUUUGUGAACUGAAACAGAAAAUGAGAACAGGUAGAGAAGCUGAGCCUUAAUCCUCCAAUUUAAUUUCCUUUAAUCUUGUUUAUAGAAUAUAUCCUCUUUUUUAACUACCUUUUUUUUUUUUUUUUCACCAAAGCUUGCCACUUGCAGAUCCUCUUACACCUUUUUACCAUGAAUUACAUGCAUUGCUAUUCUCCGGGCAGACUUCCCUGCCCCCUCUCCAGGUUUCUCUCCCCCUGAUGCUCUAUGCUCUGUUCAGGCUUCUAAUCCAGGAUGGCUAACACAGCAAAACUGGAACAGGAGCAGAAGACGGAGCAUUGCAAGUGGCCCUUUAGCAACCUGCAGGGCUCACACUUACAGCAAAUACUCUGAGCGCAGGUAGGGUGGCGCACACAACAUUAAGACUAAAUAAAAACCAAUUUAUAUUCUCCCCCACUGAGGUCUGAAGCUGGGAUAGGUAAUUUGUUCCAAAUGGAGGAGGAACACUACAGACUACAGUGCUCCAGGCUUUUCUGGGUCUCGAUCGUUUAACUCAUCCCGGGGUUUCUUCACAUAACCUGACCUCCAGUUGUUUUUGAACAAAAGAGGUAACUGCUGAAGAUUGUGGAGAAGAUAGGAAGGAGACAACCCCUAAUUACUGGUUGAUUUCAUCUGGAGCUGCAUUAUAGCCAGUACUUAGCAAGAAAAGAGACUUAAACCAAACAGCAAUUCUUAAACCACCGCAAACAUCAGCAUUUUUGUUCUUUAUUUACUCAAAACAUUUUAUUUAAAAGUAGCAGGCCUAGCAAAAUAAGGAACAAUCUAAAAAGAACCCCUGUUGACACAGACACAUUCGAUUUGCUGUGAUAAAAGACAAAGAACCACAAAUCUUGCAAUGUAUCAUUUGCUUCCAAAGACAGUAACAUAUAGCCUGUGAUUUUAAUGAUUGUCCUGCAACUGAUCAUUUUGAGAAGCACAGGAUAAAGCGCAGUUAAGCUAUAUAUUAUCCUCUUACCCUUCCAGAGCGAAGUAUUUCAUUUAAGCCAUUCAGGUAGAGGUAGUUUUGCGGGUUAAUAGUAGAUUUGAAAUCUUGCUUGUAGUUAAUUCAGCUCCAAGACCUCUGCAUAAUUUAGACUAGUUCACAUUUCAAAAACUUCUCAGAAACUUUAAUAUAUAAUACCCAUUUUAAAUGUUCAGCUUAAAAUAAAGCUUCUAGAGUCCAGUUCUGACUUUGCAUAUAUCAAUAUUUUUGAAUCAAGACAAAUUUCUCCCAAGAGAGAAUCUUCUUUCACCACUCAAAAUAAUUAUAUUGCCACCAUUCAUAUAAAGAGAAAAAUACAGAUGGCCUUUACCCAGAGAUGCUCUGGUGUGCCCUUACAGAGUUAAUUGGAGGACUCACAUCUGAAAGAGCUCUCUGUCUCCCAGGACUCAUUUUCUCUUUAUUCAUACUGUACCAACCUGAAAGACAGACAUUUAACAGAUGCUCCCCAGACACACAUUGUUUUUCCUAAUAUUUUCACACUGUGGUUUACCAAUCCUGCCCAAAACCUCACCACAAGCAUCCUGAACAUAAAAUAUCUACUGCCAGCAGAGGAAGUUGUCUAUUUCCCUCUUACCUCAGAGCAUUAUCAGUGCAUACCAGGAAACAGUGUCAGAUAUGCUCAUCAGUCACAAGUAAUUACAGAUCCCUAUCAUCAUUGUUUUUCCACACAGUCACCUUAUCUCUGACAAGACACAAAAAAAAAAAAAAAGGUUCCACUCUUGUGAGAAGGAUCCCUCCCAAGUUUGCUGUCAGAAAAAAAAGAAAAUAAUAUUUAAGAGGGCAAAUGUUUUUAGUCUUGUUUAUAAAUAACAAGAAAUUGAUUUUUUUUCAUUAGAUGUAAACUUCACUAGCUUGUAGGCACCUCCUUUCAAUUGUUUUUUAAAGAAAUGCAUUGCUUUGUUAAUGUAGCUUUUGACUGGUUUUCAAAAGUAUCUAAACAAUUAAAAUCACAUUCCAAUAUAAGUCCUCAUGAGUGAGGGCUUUUGCCCAGUGAUCCAUCAGGAGAGACACUAGAGCUUAUGCCCAUGCAGUGCUUCACUAUAGAGGAACCUAAUUAAAUUAACUGUAUGAAUUCGGUGACCAUAUGGAGCCAUCAGUGACAGAGAGAUACUAUAACUUGGAAGCAAAAUUAUCACAAGAGUCUAAAACAAGGAAAGAAGGUGCAAGUUAUAAGAAGAAAUCUGGUGAAUAAUCCAAGUAUUGGAACAGAAGCUCUGUUUCGAAAGGGAAUGUAUCAAGAGAUAGUCCAUACAAAGAAACAAUAACUAGUUGUUAUAAUUCUGAGGCAGUUCAUACAAAGAAACAAUAACAAAUUGUUAUAAUUCUGAGGCACUUAGCAGAAAAACAUCACAGAAACAGAAGAAUUUAAUUUCUUUCCAUUUACUACCAACUGCA